UCCGAUUUCAUCAAAGGUGUUUCCCCAUGAAUGUGAACAUUUCCGUGACUAUCUUAAUCUUACUGUGUAUGCAUUGUCGUCUGAAGUAGUUAAAGGACGUCUAGAAAGUACUGAAUGGGAUUUAUGGUAAACCAAGUCCUCUUUGGAGAACUGUACAGUGAGGUCAUCUCAUAGCCCUGUGUCCAGGUCUCCCAAGGCAGUGGAAUGGCUAAUAGCUGACUUCUGCUGCUUACAUAUCAAGGCUCUGCUAGACAUGUCCCUUGGGUCCCAACUCCAAAUGACCUGUUCUGUCUUUCGUCACUCAGCAGAGUGGCUUUAGAGCUUGUCUUGACAUUACAGACAUCUCCAACCCUUACUCAAAAUGUGCGAGGGUUCCAUCCACCGGACCCUUCGAGGCUUCCCUUUGCUUUCCUAACUCUUGGGAGUACCGCCAUCAUUGUUUGUUUGUUUGUUUGUUUGUUUGUUUGUUUGUUACAUUCCUGUGACUUAAUAGAAUGAAUACCCCUUUCUCACUGAGAGUUAACAGGUGCUGUUGCAAAAACAGCAUUUGCCGACCAGUGUGCUCUUGCUUGCCUGUGGUCCCAUCACUUGGGAUUUAGAUGCAGGAGGAUCAGGAAUUCAAGGUCAUCCUUGACUACAUAGCAAAAUAGAGACCAGCAUUAGCUUCAGGAGACCCUAUCUUUUUGAUUUUUUUUUUUUUUUUUGCUAAAAUAUAUGUUCUCUGUAAGUGAGCCUGUUGUGUUUUAUUUGGUAGUUUUGCCCUGAGGGAAUUCAGGCUUCUCUUUGUACCUUCUAUUAAACUUAGUGGAGUGGGGGAGAAAACACUGUGUUAUAAAACUGCUAAUACUGUUCUGACCGUUUCAGACUGAGUAUUUAAACACUGAAGAAGCAGGGUUUGGCCGGACCUGGUGACACACACUUGGCUGGCGGCCCAGCACUUGGGGAGCAGAGGCAGGAGGAUCUCUGAGUUCUAGGCUGCCCUGGCCUAGAUAGCUCCAGGACAGCCAGGGUUAUAUAGUGAAACCCUGGCUCAAAAAGCUACCCACAGACUAAUAAUAAACACUGCUAGUUGGCUUACAGGAAAUACGGAGAGGCAGACUAGGGGGGAAAUGACUCCUACAGUAAUUCUGUGCUUCAUGGGUUUGAAGUGAUCCUAACAAAGGAAGCCUCUCACUUCGUAGCAACAAUAUUUGAGGGAGUAAGAGAAGUUCUGGCUGGGUAUGCUCCAGGGCCUGUGCUUGGCUUGUGGGAUUUCCCUUGGUCCUUUCCCACAGCUAGUUUCUGUCAGGGAGGGUAAACUUCUGGUACACUCAGGUUUAACUGGUUGCACUAGCUGUGUGCCAAGUAUUAUUUCUGUUCCAUUUAUCCUCUCCAGCUCUUCUCUUGUGGUUUUUGUUUUGUUUUGUUUUUAAAGAGACACAUGAUCUUUCUCUGUAGUUUAGGCUAUCCUAGAACAUACUACAUAGCCCAGGCUGGCUUCAAACUUGACAUUCCUCCUGCCUUAGCCUCCCAAGUGCUAGGAUGAGUGGUUCAAAUUCAUUAUAUAUAAGGAAUGGUGAAAAGCAUUGACUUUUUUUCAUGUAAAGAGACAAGUUUGAGGGGCCAGGGAGGUGACUUAGCAGUUAGGAGCACUUGUCAUUCUUGCAGAGGACCCAGGUUUGGCUCCAACCACCCACAUGUCUGCUUAACAACCUUUAUUUGCACCUCCAGUUCCUGGGGAUCUGACACCCUCUCCUGGCCCCUGAGGGCACUGCGUGACUAUGGUGUGUAGACAUACAUGCAGGCAAAACACCCAUGUACGUAGGAAAGUAUUUUGUUUGGUACAAAACGUCCUUGUACCUGUGAGGUAAGAUAUAGGACAAUAAAAUUAAUAUUGUUGCUUUUUUCUUUUAUUUAUAAUUAUAUUCAAAAGACUAAAAGUACAGCCAGGCAUGGUAGCACAUGCCUGUAAUCCCAGCACUUGGGGAGUAGAGGCAGGAAGACCAGAAGUUCAAGAGCAGUCUGGGCUAUUUUGAGACCUUGUCUCUAGAAAAGACAAAGCUCAAACCACAGAGACUGCUCAGCAGUUCCUUGGUAGGCCCCAGCUGGUACCACAGUUGAUUCUGAUGGGUACUGGGAGGUGUGGUGGGUGGCCUGACCUUCAAAGUCAGAAGAAUGUCAGUGAAGUUCCCCACUGUCAUAUCCAGGAACCUGUCUGCGGCUGUGAACCUCACCCACUCCUGUUUCCUCCCAGUGCACAUCCGUCAGUGUUCCUGCCCCUCUCCACCUUCUAGCAUUUUCUGCAGUACAUUCAUGAAUCCUAAUUUUGUAAGAACCCUGAGUCAAAAGAGCAGAGUAGGAUUCCAGGCAAUAUGACCAAACAUCCCCUCCCCCUUCUAAACUAACUGGCCCAGGAAAGGCGAAGUGUUACGAGGCUGUAUUGAGCAUGGCCUAGAUCGUAGGUGUGUAUGACCUGUGAAGUAUGUACCAUCUAAAAUAUUACUCCUGCUUUGAAAGCUCCUGAGUAAACAUUCGUGUAAAAAGGAGUUCACUGGGAAGAUUCCCUCUUUAAUAUAGAUAGAAAUAUUCUUUAUCAGAGGUUUAGGAUACCAUUUUGCUAACUGGUAAAUAAAAACAGAUGUAAAUAUGUAAGAAUGUUUAUUUGUUGCACAUAACUUUUUUGGUAUAAAAUAAAUGUAGACAUUACCUGUGG
rnacentral:lncRNA from 1 species